rnacentral:rRNA from 1 species
AGGACGAACGCUGGCGGCGUGCUUAACACAUGCAAGUCGAGCGAGGCCCGUCCUUCGGGACGGUGCCCUAGCGGCGAACGGGUGAGUAACACGUGGGCAACCUGCCCCUAGCACUGGGAUAACUCCGGGAAACCGGGGCUAAUACCGGAUAUGACCUCCGAGGGCAUCCUUGGUGGUGUAAAGGAUUCUGGCUAGGGAUGGGCCCGCGGCCUAUCAGCUUGUUGGUGGGGUAACGGCCUACCAAGGCGACGACGGGUA